rnacentral:rRNA from 1 species
CCUACGGGAGGCAGCAGUGGGGAAUUUUGGACAAUGGGCGCAAGCCUGAUCCAGCAAUGCCGCGUGAGUGAAGAAGGCCUUCGGGUUGUAAAGCUCUUUUGUCAGGGAAGAAACGGUGGGAGCUAAUAUCUCCUACUAAUGACGGUACCUGAAGAAUAAGCACCGGCUAACUACGUGCCAGCAGCCGCGGUAAUACGUAGGGUGCAAGCGUUAAUCGGAAUUACUGGGCGUAAAGCGUGCGCAGGCGGUUUUGUAAGUCUGUCGUGAAGGCCCCGGGCUCAACCUGGGAAUUGCGAUGGAGACUGCAAGGCUUGAAUCUGGCAGAGGGGGGUAGAAUUCCACGUGUAGCAGUGAAAUGCGUAGAGAUGUGGAGGAACACCGAUGGCGAAGGCAGCCCCCUGGGUCAAGAUUGACGCUCAUGCACGAAAGCGUGGGGAGCAAACAGGAUUAGAUACCCUGGUAGUCCACGCCCUAAACGAUGUCUACUAGUUGUCGGGUUUUAAUUAACUUGGUAACGCAGCUAACGCGUGAAGUAGACCGCCUGGGGAGUACGGUCGCAAGAUUAAAACUCAAAUGAAAUUGACGG